UUCUCUACUUAGAUGCCUCGAGUAUAGGAAAUAUUCUUGGGGCCGGUCAUUUCGCAUUGUAGAUCCUAUAAACGCCUGAAGUAAACACAUCUUGAUUGCAAAGUUAUACAUUGAUCCCUCUCUAUUCAGAAGUCACCUUCACCGAUACAGACUCGAGCUCAAGAUUUAUCUCAUGGCUGCCGUAUCCAUUCAGCUUAGCUUUGAACGAACAGUUGCGUUGGAUACUACUGUCGGAGCCUUCGGGGCCAGCCUUGAACUUGAAAACUUCAAAUGAUUGACGGUAUCCCGUGAAACAGUGACAGCGAUCAAAAACCUCCGUAAGCCACACGACUUGCCGAUAGCGCCACAGAAAAGCUGAAAAUUUUCUUGUCCCUUCAAAACAGAAACAAUGGAACUGGGACCUCUGAUAUGACAACUUGUACAGUGGCCGCGACUGCAUUAUGAGCAAGUGCAGAAGAGAUAUCGACCGCGCCACCACAGUCGACACCCAAGCUAUUAAACCCAUUAACAGUCGCGGUAAUUAGGGCGCUCAUUCGCGUGGUACACCUGUCCAUUUACUGUGCUAAGUUAAAAAACACGAUUUUCAUCGAGCCGGUUCUCUCCUCCACGACCCAGCGCCCCCUUUUUGUUUUUCCUCUGAGGCUAGGGUUACCGCCGGCGGCGUCCUCCCCGGCGCUCGUGCCCUCUCCAUCCCGCCCGAGCUCCACCUCCUGCCUCAUCUCUAGCGAUCUUCUCAAUCUAGACCUCGGGAGCACGCACCGGCUACCUCUAGCUCGUCCUCCACCACGCUUGCGCUUGCGUGUUUGAUGGGCACAGGCUGCUCCACCUCCACGCACGGACGACAAGCACGGCGGCCCUGAGAAAGGUGCUCUCGCCCCCUUUUCUCCUUCUGGUUAUGAGCAUAGUGCAUAGGAAGCCUGUAGUAUGUAUCUGGCGAGGUGCAGUGUGGAGGCAGCGGAACAAGCAUCAUAUAUACAAUAAUACAAACGACUUAAAUCCUUCAAGAAGCGUUUCUGCGUUCUGCUACUCUUGGUUUCUCAUAAUCGCUCAAAGUGAAGAGGUUGUUCGUAGUUUCUGAAUCUUGAAAACUGUUGGGUACAGGUAUCACUGAUAUGGGAGCUCCCGUUGCAUAUUUGCGACUUCUCGGAAGAAGCCUGUGAACAUAUCGUCUCUGAAUAAGCCCGCCAAACCCCUGACACAGGUGUUGUAUUCUGAACAUUUCCUCGGCAAAUUGGGGCAGCUUGUCGAACAACCCACGCACAGCAAAAUCUGAAAAUCCUCUGAAUCAAAUGGGCCCUGGAUUACCAAAGUUGUUUGGUUGCACCAUGCAAAAUAAUCCCUAUAAAAAAUCCUACAAGAUUUGAUGCUACAAAUCAAGAGAAAUAUGACAUUGCUUAGUGUGAGGUGCUUACAAAGUACUUUUCGCCGUGGUGUUUAUUGAAAUAUUUGGGUAAUGCAGUUUUAUGAUAUUGUGUGGCUUAGCCUUUGUUCAGGAAUAGAGCGUGGGAACAAUAUCUUUGGUUGUAGCCUCUCCCAUGGAGUUUGGCCUGCUCGGCGCAUUGUUUGGUCUCCAGCCUCUCCCUGACUCUUUCUUCUCCCAGUGACUUCUCCUUUUACCAAUACCCGAUACUUGCAUCACUUAAUUCAUUGUUGUACAACUUCAUUUGCUUUGUGGCAGCAGAGGAAAGGGGGAGAAAAUGCGUCCAUUGUACCACGCUUGACCUUUGAGUAACAUUUGUUUGAUGGGAGAAUUUGAUGUAUGUUCUGAAGCUCGUGGUAGUUCAUCAAUCUUGCAAGAGGAACUGAGGAAAAUCUUAUUCAACACAACAGGAGGGGAACCGGCUGUGGUAGUUUUAGGAAUCGGGAUGAUCGCCGUAUGUUAGAUCUCUAUCUCUUCCAGGCAAUGAUCAGAUGCACAACAUGGAAUCAGGAUGAUCGUCGUAUGAUAGAUCAUUUCCGGGCAAGGAUCGGACGCAUAACAUGGUAUGUACAUGCAAUGGAAUUGUUACAUAGAGCAAAUAUGUAGUUCCCCCAGAUGUUCUGGUAUCUGGAAUGAGCUUGAUGUGUUCCGACAUAGCUCAGUUUAUGACGAAGCCAUCGAACAGAAAUAUCAAGUUCGGAAAGAGUUUCGAGCGGCGAAACCAGUCUCUCCCCCCCCCCCCCCCCCCCCCCCCCCAAUAAGUGGACCUACUUUUCUUGGUUAAUCAGUCUAAUAAUUUCUUUCCUCUUUAUAUGCAAGACUCAUGAACGUUUUCCUCAUUUAUUUGGACAAAUAAAGCUGGAAGAUUUUAUGCCAUGGUCGAGUUUUUUUUCUAGAAUCAUUCGUCAUAGGAGGUAACAAAAAUGUCAUAAUGCAUUCUAAUGCUUCCAAGCCAAAGUUAAUGAGCUUUACGGAUUGGUUUGCUCACUUUGGUCUGUUGAGCAGUCCAAGAUUGACAUAUGGGAUCAUUACCAAAAUAUGAAUAACUAGAAGUUGACCAAUCUCAACAAGACACUUGAGGAAGAUCAACUUAUGAUGGAUCAAGAAGUAUUGUGUUUCCGAUCAUGCACUCCUUUCUUUUCUGAAACAUUGAAGGUUCCUAUUAUGUUCAUCAACAACAUGGCUCAUGUUCAUUUGUUGUGUUGACUUGCAUCUCUUUCUCCGAGUUCAAUGGUUUGCUGUUGCAUGUCACAUGUUUGUGAACAUUUAUUUAUGCUAUCAAAAUGGGCAUAUGGUUUUGUA